GACGUAGGGCGCGAGCGUUGUCCGGAUUUAUUGGGCGUAAAGAGCUCGUAGGCGGCUUGUUGCGUCGACUGUGAAAACCUGCGGCUCAACCGUGUGGUCUGCAGUCGAUACGGGCAGGCUGGAGUUCGGUAGGGGAGACUGGAAUUCCUGGUGUAGCGGUGAAAUGCGCAGAUAUCAGGAGGAACACCGGUGGCGAAGGC
rnacentral:rRNA from 1 species